ACCGCACAAGCGGUGGAUGAUGUGGAUUAAUUCGAUGCAACGCGAAAAACCUUACCUACCCUUGACAUGUCUGGAACCUUGCUGAGAGGCGAGGGUGCCUUCGGGAGCCAGAACACAGGUGCUGCAUGGCUGUCGUCAGCUCGUGUCGUGAGAUGUUGGGUUAAGUCCCGCAACGAGCGCAACCCUUGUCAUUAGUUGCCAUCAUUUAGUUAGGGCACUCUAAUGAGACUGCCGGUGACAAACCGGAGGAAGGUGGGGAUGACGUCAAGUCCUCAUGGCCCUUAUGGGUAGGGCUUCACACGUCAUACAAUGGUCGGUACAGAGGGUUGCCAAGCCGCGAGGUGGAGCCAAUCCCUUAAAGCCGAUCGUAGUCCGGAUCGUAGGCUGCAACUCGCCUACAUGAAGUCGGAAUCGCUAGUAAUCGCGGAUCAGCACGCCGCGGUCGAAUACGUUCCCGGGCCUU
rnacentral:rRNA from 1 species